GUACAAUUACUAGUAGCACACCUCCAAGGUAGGGAGUUGAGUUGGCAAGCGAACCAAAAGUCAAAAUCAUGAAUUGUUGUAUCAAGGCUCCUCCAGAUUUUCCCAGUGGAUUGCAGACAACAUCAAUUGCUGCCUUCCCUUUUACCUGUUAUAAGAAAAAUGCUUGAGCUUAAUGUUCACGAAACAACUGGCUGCCAAAUAACAUCACGGUUUUCCAGUUAUAAAAGUCCGGAUAGAGGUAUUUGUCAGUCACAAAUACCAUUAUAAAUAUAUGCGCUCAUCAAAUAUUAAGGGCUACAUAUAUAAAAAGGUAGCCCGGUAUUGUUACCGAUGCCCAAAAAAAAAGGUAGUCCGGUGCACGAAGCAUCCCGCAUUUACGCAGGGUUUGGGGAAGGGUCGCACCCAAAGGGUGUGAGGUAGGCAGUCUACCCUAAUGCAAGCAUCAGUGGCUAAUUCCACGGCUCGAACUCUAGACUUAUAGGUAACAUGAAGACAACUUUACCGUUGCUCCAAGGCUCCCCCUCUUAAAGGCUACAGAUAUAUACUCCCUCCAGUCCAUAAUAAGUGACUAAUUUGNNNNNNNNNNNNNNNNNNNNNNNNNUUUAAUUUGUUUUUCCUAAAUUACCCUUAUGUCGUAUUCCUAAAAAGUCUUUUACUCCUCAUAUUAAAUUAUGCUGCAACAUUUAAUUAAGAGUAGUUUAGUCACACUAACAAUUUUUGUCUAGAAUUUAGUAUUUCCUUAACGGGUGUGCCCAAAGCAAAUUGGUUACUUAUUGUGGACCGGAGGGAGUAUAUGUUUAAUGCAUUCAAUUCCUAGAUGAAGGCAUGACUAUUCCAAUUCAGCACUUUUGACAGCACCAUAGAGCAUUGAUUCACUACAAUUUUAGACACAGUGAAUAGUAUAUACCUUGGUGUCCUCGUCCAGAGGAAUAUACGCCAUUUCUUUGCAAGGAUCGAACAAACUGUAUUUUGCACUCUUACUGAAAAUGUUCUGCAUAGCGCCCACAUAGACAGCAGCUAGAAGAGGAGUGAUCCCGAACUUGGCAAGAGCAGGGGCAAGGGGAUCACCAAACAAAAUCAGGGAGAAGAAUCCAACAC
rnacentral:lncRNA from 1 species